UACGGAGGGUGCGAGCGUUGUCCGGAAUCACUGGGCGUAAAGGGCGCGUAGGCGGCGCGGAUAGUCGGCGGUGAAAGCCCGGAGCUCAACUCCGGGUCGGCCGUCGAUACUUCCGGGCUUGAGCACUGUAGAGGCAGAUGGAAUUCCGGGUGUAGCGGUGGAAUGCGUAGAGAUCCGGAAGAACACCGGUGGCGAAGGCGGUCUGCUGGGCAGUUGCUGACGCUGAUGCGUGACAGCGUGGGGAGCAAACAGG
rnacentral:rRNA from 1 species